CUGAGUGUGACAGCCAGCCCCAGAAACAAAGCCUAGAAACGCCUGUGUUUAAAAUGAGAAGGCCAAAGCUUCUGGGAAGGAUGAUCUAUUUUAUGAUGCCUCAAAGUUUCAGAAUGACUGUAGCCCCCCUCACCUCCUCUGGGCUGAACACCAUCAUCUAGCCUCUGACACUCGGGUCUGGAGACAGAGGGGGUUGAGGGGGAGGCAAUUGCAGCUGGCAGGAACCUUGCUUUUCAAGAACCUGGACCCCAGGACAACUCUGGUUGAGGCUCCCCAAGUCCCUCAAGAUUGCUCACUCUGGGGGAAGCCAGCUGCCAUGUCAGGAGGACACUCAAGCAGCCUCAUGGAGAAACUCAUGUGGCAAGGAACAGAGGGCUCCUGCCAGCAGCCACACACGUGAGCUGUCUUAGAAGCAGCUCCUCCAGCCCCAGUAAAGCCUUCAGACGACUGCAGCCCUAGCUGACAUCUUGACCUCAUCCCAUGAAAGACCAUGAGCCAAAGCACCCAGCUGAGUUGCUCCCAAAUUCCUGACCCACAGAAACUGUGUGAGAUAAUAAAUUGUUAUUUAAGCCACUAAGUGUUGAAGGAAUUUUUAAAGAGUGAUAGAUAAUUAAUGC
rnacentral:lncRNA from 1 species